ensembl:lncRNA
CGAUCUACCGUUUAUUUUGCUGUGUGUGUUGCCUGUCCACCGGUGUAAGUUUAUUUUGAGUUUUUCUAGUUAUGUCAUGUUGCGUUCAGCAUUAAAGCCUUUUUGAGUUCACGUCUGUCUCCGGAGUCUGCACCUUGGGUCCUAUUCCUGUUUGCACACAGCCGUCACCUAACAGGAGCAGGCUACAGACGAUGAUGCUCACAAUGCAGAAUAAGCUGUUUGACAAACAAACAAAAGAACACACGGAACAAACAUGUAGUUAUAAUGGCGGGGAAAAGCAAAAAACAACUGAGAACCAUUGCAUAAUUGUCUUGAGUUAUUCGGGGGAUUUGGUGUGAAAGACGAUCCCAGGGUGUUUAAAAUACUGUUUUAAUUAAACAUUAUAUAGCAUUAUAUUAUGCUGUCUUCUGCUCCUUGAGCAGCUCUAUCUCCGCCUGAAAGCGCCUGAAAGCAGCAUGAUGAAGGCGGUUCCUGUGUCGGUUGGGUGGGGGCUAUAAAAGGUGCGACUGCGCGCCUCCUGUUUCAAUUGCCUUUCCUCCAUCGAGCGCAGCAGUUUCCCAUCACAUCAGCAUGAAGAAGCUAAGCAUCGUUUUCGUCGCAGUCCUGCUGCUGGCUCUCAAUCUUACCUCCCAGGUGGCCGAGGCACAAGGUAAAAGCGGAACCGGAGGCACCAACACCCAGAACUCGACUACAGCCGCACCGUCGAGCGCCAGCGGGAGUCCCGCCGCCUUCACGCUGCUCGUCGCUCCGCUGCUUCUGUCCACGGUUCUCCUGCACGGCUGGUCCGGAUGAUCUGAUCCGCGCUGGACAUUCGGAAGCCGGCAGGGGACACAACGUUAGUGUUUAAUAAAAGGCAGAAAAAGGAAAUCACAUAAAGUAGGGAGCUUAACUAUUUACUGUUGAGCGGGCGAAACGAGCGCGACGCGCCCCGGGCCCCGUCGCGCCCCGGGCCGCGCCCUGCUCCUUUCCGCAUCCUGCUCUUCAUCAACUCUGAAACGCAACCAAUCCUCCCGCCAGUAACGGAACAUGCUCGAUGAUAAUUCAGAAAUAUUGAACCCUGUGGAAAACAUGUGUAUUCAUGUGUCUGACAACGACUGUAUGUAAAUGAGUUCUGUACUUUCAGAAUGAUGCAAAUCUGAUGUUUGACAUGUGAAUGCUGUGAAAUUAAACUUUAAAUUGUAAAAAAUA